AUAAGUUAUUCUAAAGGCUGGCGCAUGAUUCUGCGUCUGCGUCGACGCACUCGUUUCAAUUCAUGGUUCUAAAAGGCUUGCGUGUGUUGCAGAGCAAUUUAAUCAAGUUCCUUUGUUUGGUUUUUGCUGGUUCGUGAAUAAUGGCUGGACGACGUCUCGCGUUCAACUCGCCUUCAACUCCUCUCCACGGUCACCAACUUUCGGCCAGUCCGCAGACAGACGAGAAGAAACUGCUGAAUGCUCUCAGUGGAUCGUCUCGUCAACUCCAACAACAAACUGCCGAUAUCAACGAGCGGUUCGCCCCACUGGAGCGUUCGGGACUCUCCGGGUUUCUGUCCAUGGAGGAGAGGAUGGCGGCUCUGGAGGAACUGACUCAAAGAAGAGGAGACGGGCGCACAAUCCCAAGAUAGCGACUAAUCUCGCCUCAUAAUGAGGCGGUGACCUCGUAUUUGCUCCGGGAAAAGUCCAGAUUUAGACAACGUCAUUGUGUGUAAGUGACACUGUUUACUGUUUCUCCUUCCUUGUUAAAUGUUACUGUCACUUGCGUUUGAUUUUUUUUUAUUCAUACCACACUCAUUUAAUUGUUUUCCAUCCGCCUGUGAGACGUAUUGUGAGACGGGACGCAGGAGCUUCAGGUUUUCCCAGCCGGAACACUCAUUGCGGGCGGAAGCUGCGAAGGAUUCAGCGCGGAGUCGAGCGAGAAGAAAGAGGCUGCUAGAAUCGAGACAAAGUGUGCUGGCUGAUGACGAGGUGGAACUCUGGAAAUCCACCACCGUAGAGCUCACGUCGGACGGAGAGGACGGCGUUGUUGGCGGGGUCUCGGGGUGGAUUGUACGGUCGCUGCUAUUUCUGAGUCAGUCCCGGUUAGAGGCGACUCAGAAAUACAGAUCCUCACACAUUAGGCGCCUGCACAACAGACCUGCCUCGGAAAACACGGCGCCAGUGACGGUCUACAACCCCAAGGAGGCAAACGGACAGUUUACAGAGCUGUAGUUUUUUAAACCGCCUUUACCCAAGUGUGGGCAGAUCCUCACUUUGUAUGUAGUUGUUGU
ensembl:lncRNA